UUCUCCGUGCUGCUAAACUUUUCCUCACAGCCAAACUGGGGAAUACGCUUUAAUCUCAUUUAUUGGAUUGCUUCCUCUGAGUAUGGUAGUUUUUUGUUUGUUUGCUGAAGCAAUGAGGCUCUAGGCGGGAAGUUAAGCACGAAGUGUUUCGUGAGGAAAAAGACAAACUCCUGAAGAAAAAAGACAGAAUGAGGAGGAAAAGGAGGGUUUGGGGCGACAAAAGGUGGCUCCGGCCGGGGCUGCCCCUCAGGCGCGGCCCCCCCGCGCUCGCUUCACAAAAUGGCCGCCCGGCGGGGCCGCGGGAGCGGCUCUGAGGCGACAAAAUGGCGGCGGGCGGAGAGCGGGGGGAAGGACGGGCGAGGAGCGGCAUGAGCGCAGCGAAGGGCUCUGAUCCUGUGGGAAUCCCCUCCGGGCGGGGGGCGAAAGCGCUGCGGGGGUUGAAGCCGACAUCUCCCGGUCUCUUCACGGCAUGGAAAAUCCCCAAAAGUACUUAAAGGAAAAAAAAAAAAACCAACACAAAAAUAAAAAAGUCCCAAACGCACGAGGAUUGAUUUAUCAUCGGAGCCGUAGUGGUAUGGGAAGAAGCCAUCGCUGCUUGCCUGCUCCCCACGACAGCUCACCCGCCAUUCGCUUAAUUAAAAUCAUAUAUUGGUGUGAUCAGACGUGGUAAUACCGUUAAAAAAAACCAAAAACAAAUCCUGUAACAUCCACACGCUCGUUGUUGGAGGCUGUAGCCAAGUCCAUGAUGGAAGUUUGUGCCUGAAUGUUUUAUUUGUUCCACAGAGAUGUAGAUUUUCCUUGGGAGAUUUGGGAAGGAUUAUUUUUUAAUGAAAAAGAGGAAAAAAAUACACCCAGAAAAAAAACCCAAAACCAAAACAAACAAUGAAAAAGAAACAAAAAGGAAAAAAAGCACAACAGAACCAAACCGCAGUAAGUGAAGCUGCAAAUGCCACCCAACAGUCCGGAUCAGACAAUUCAUUGCACAAAAAAAAAGGAUAAAUGGAACUGCAAUGGCCGGCUUUGCUGUAGAUCCAGGAGGAGGGAUCAGCUCCUUUAUCCCACCAUCUCGCGCUACAAACACCACCAUUUUUUUCCUCUCUUUUUGUUUUUAAAUACGCUUUGUUGGGGCGUUUUGUUUCGAGCCGAGGCGGCUGCACCACCCCCCGAGCCGGGGCUGCCGGAGCCGCUCGGGGGCUUCACUUUUACAGAGAUCUCUUAUUUUUCCCGGGCCUUGUGCAAUCCUCUCCGUUUUAUUACAUGGGUUUGGGGUUUUUUUUCCUCUCCCCUCUGCGGGUAUAAAGGUUUCUCUCCUCUCUCCAGCUUGGCUGCUUGUUCCAGAAGUUUCCACGGGGGCGGGGAGCCCCCACUGCGGCGCCUUUGCCGCAGCGCCGGGCAGGAGGAGGAGGAUGCGGAGGAUGCGCCACCUCUCCCUGGCUGGGAGCCUCAUUCCAAGCCGCUCCCCCUUGCUCCAUUCCCCAGCCUUGAAAACAGAGCGCUGGGAGGUGUUUGCAACUUGGAGGGGUUUGUGGGUUUUUUUGGUUUGGCUUUUUUUUUUUUUCCUUUUUUUUUUUUUUUCCUUUUCUUCCCUCUAAAUAAAUGGAAAGCAGAGCUGUCGCUGAUGGAGAUGGAUGAGGCAGGGCUGGCAGCGCCGCAGCUCUAUUCCGGCGUGGCCAUGGCACCGAUGGCAUAAGUGACCUUUCCCAGGCGGUGGGAGAGGGGAUUCCCCUCCCCGCCCCAGCGUGCUCCUGCUCGGAAUUCAUUUUAAAUAGAAGGAGUAUUAUUUUUUAUUUUCCUUCCCCCCUCCCAUUUCUCCUUCACUGUUUUGUUUUGGUUUUGUUGUUUUGUUUUGGUUUUUUUUUUUCCCGAAGCUUCCUCAUGAUCUUUUUUUUUUUCCUGUGUGUGUUUUGAAUUGCAUUUUAAAAUUGCCCAGCUGGAGACAAGGCUUGAUUAGAGCUGGAACAAUAGCUCCCUUUUAUUAAUAACGGGAAGGAUUUACAAUCGUACAGCACCUUCCUUGGAAAGCUUUCCAAACCAUUUGCAAACACUCACAAAUUUCAGAUUGUGCAGCCCUUGGCUGUGAGGUGGUCCCUAAGUGACCUCCUGCAGCGCUGCAUCCAUUGCAGUUCCAGCACAGCCUUGCACUGGAGUACUGAUGUGUGUCCCUGCGAGCCAGAGUGACCUUGCUGGGGGGACUGGGCCCACCGAGCGAUUCAGGGAAACAAUGUAUUGUUUAUGUAGCCCCUCUCCACAGCAGAUCCCUAGAAACCAUGCAGGGAUCCGGGAGUCACCCAGGCAGCGGGAUCUGGCCUUGCCAGAAGCAUGAGGGAUCCAUGACGAGGCUCCAGCCACGUCUGCGUGUGUCACACACGGGCCACACAAACCCACAGUGUUCCUGUGAUUACCUCUGCCGGCAGAGCAUGAGUGGGUCCCAGGGCUUCCCUUUCCCACUGCUUGCUGGUUCACAAAGGCUGAUGCUUCUGGAAAAAGCUCUGCCUUGUGGCCUUUAAAAUAAAUAAAUAAAGCGGCGCUGCUGUGGA